UUAUUCCUACGGGGGGCAGCAGUGAGGAAUAUUGGUCAAUGGCCGGAAGGCUGAACCAGCCAAGCCGCGUGAAGGACGAAGGUGCCAAGCAUUGUAAACUUCUUUUGUCAAGGGACAAAAUCAGGCUCGAGAGCCUGACCGAGGGUACUUGAAGAAAAAGCAUCGGCUAACUCCGUGCCAGCAGCCGCGGUAAUACGGAGGAUGCGAGCGUUAUCCGGAUUUAUUGGGUUUAAAGGGUGCGUAGGCGGUCCGUUAAGUCAGCGGUAAAAUUGCGGGGCUCAACCCCGUCGAGCCGUUGAAACUGG
rnacentral:rRNA from 1 species